rnacentral:rRNA from 1 species
ACUCAAAGGAAUUGACGGGGGCCCGCACAAGCGGUGGAGCAUGUGGUUUAAUUCGAUGCAACGCGAAGAACCUUACCUGCCCUUGACAUGCCACGAAGCCUGGUUAAGCGCCGGGCGUGCCGAAAGGAACGUGGACACAGGUGCUGCAUGGCUGUCGUCAGCUCGUGUCGUGAGAUGUUGGGUUAAGUCCCGUAACGAGCGCAACCCUUGUCCUUCGUUGCCACCCGAAAGGGGGAACUCGAAGGAGACUGCCGGUGAUAAAUCGGAGGAAGGUGGGGAUGACGUCAAGUCAUCAUGGCCUUUAUGGGCAGGGCUACACACGUGCUACAAUGGGCGUUACAGAGGGCAGCGAACCUGCGAAGGGGAGCAAAUCUUUGAAAAGCGCUCGUAGUCCGGAUCGGAGUCUGCAACUCGACUCCGUGAAGUCGGAAUCGCUAGUAAUCGCGGAUCAGAAUGCCGCGGUGAAUACGUUCCCGGGCCUUGCACACACCGCCCGU